rnacentral:lncRNA from 1 species
GCAUUAAAUCACAUCCUGUUGUUUGGCUGUAUGAUUGCAAAACUAAAAUGACUGAACACAAUGUGGCAACAUACAUGCUUUAGUAACGCUGCUGCCAACUGUUCUUGGCAUAAAGUGAGUUGACUCAUCUUGAAAAUAGGCCUCUGUUACUUAAAACUGGGGCAGAAUGCAAAUGUUCGUCCUGCUGACCAUCACUGACAUCGUUACCGGUAUUAUUUAUGAAGCAGUGGUGCGCACUCUCAGAAGGCAUCUGCAAGGGGUGUAUUGCAUUAAGCUGAUACAUUACGGUGCUCAACAAAGAAACCCUGCCUUGGUCCUACACAGAGUGAAUCACAAACCUGGAAGUUCAUUUCAGGGCUGCUCUCAUUAUUAAUCAGGUAGGUCUUAAUCCACUGCCUGUGUGAGGGUUUUGUUUGUUUGAUGUUGGUGAGGCUUUCUGAGAUAACACCCAGAUACUGUUAUAAUCUGUAUAGGUUAGAAUGUCCAUAGCUGCCUUUCACCAGCCAACCUUGUAAACUGGGAAAGUGAGACAUGUUAAAUAAUGCAAGUUUG